rnacentral:misc_RNA from 1 species
AAGUCGUAACAAGGUUUCCGUAGGUGAACCUGCGGAAGGAUCAUUACCAAUGGAGCAUCAUCUCUGUGUGUAUGCUACCAUCAUCGCUACUUUUGUGCAUUUGCAGUCCUUUGUGGUGUGCUGCCCGUCCGUGUUCCUGCUGCUGCUGCUACUGCUGUAGCUGCGCUCAGGGAACGGUGGUCGGCCUCCACAACGUAAUAAUAACACUUUUGGUCGGCUAUAUGCUGUCUGUGGGUUAUUGUGAUGAUGCUAGCUCGUCUAGUGGAAACACAUUUCUGGGAUGAAAAUAACUUUUGGCAAUGGAUCUCUAGGCUCUC